GGCAUUUCACGUCAGGCAUGUUAGCUGUUAUGUUCUUAUGUACCUUCGUUUUGAAGGAUGAAGUGAACGAGCGCGAUCAGCGCAACGGGGUUCCUCGUGAGUAAUAAUCAGAACGUCCCCGCACAGGCAAGCCAUCCAAGUCACCACUUCAUCCCGACUACAUUCCAAGACGAGAUGCGCACACGUCAGCCUCGAAGGCGGCGGUGGAUCGCUUCAUGCGGACGGCUGUCAGAAUAUGCAAGUCGCUCAAUGAGGGGCAAGGAGCAUCAUCUCUUCCUGAACAUGAUAAUGCAGUAACAGCUACUGGUCUGCACUAUGAAGACGGAGAGAGAACUGAGCACGACAUUGUUGUGAAUCUCCUCAAAGAAAACACGUUAUUGAAGAAGCGGGUAGCAGAACUGGAGCAGCAAAAUAAAGACCUCAGUUACCGGCAACUCCAUGUGGACACUCUUGACGAUCGCAGCUUCAAGUACUACACUGGGCUUAAAGACAGAACACAGUUUGAGAAUUUAUUUAACCAUUUAAAGCCUCAUGCCCGUAACAUGGUGUAUUGGUCUUCUGCACGGAAAGGUUUCGAUGAUGAGCGAGGGAGGCCGAAGAAAACAGAGCUGCAUGAGGAACUUUUCAUUGUGCUCGUGCGGCUGAGGGCGGGCAUGCCCAUUCGAGAAAUGUCAAGAAACUUUGGACUGUCGGAGGGACGUCUGAGUGAAAUGUUUACCACGUGGAUAAAUCUGCUGGAUCGGGCACUAAGGGCAGCAACAACAAUCCCAUCGAGACGUGAGGUUCAACAACACCUGCCUGCUUCGUUUAAGGGCUUUGAAGACACCCGUUUUGUAAUAGACUGCACUGAGGUACGCAUCCAGAGGCCAUUCGGACUCAAUGCACAACGCUUCACAUCUUCGUCUUACAAGCACUAAAUUACCUUCAAAGUGCUUGUCGCUGCCACACCAGAUGGCUACCUCUGUUUUGUAUCAGACUUGUGGGGUGGGCAAGCAAGUGACACAUUCAUUACAGAGCAAAGUAAGUUUUUUCAGCUUUUGCAGCCAGGUGACGCCGUCAUGACUGACAAAGGCUUUAAAGUUCAUUCACUGCCAGAUGGUGUUAAAGUAUACAUGCCACCAUUUAAGAGAACUGCGCAGAUGCCUGCCGCAGAUGUGUCUUCCACUCGUCGAAUAGCCAGCGCACGUAUUCAUAUUGAGCGGGUAAUUAGACGCGUAAAAGAAUUUCACAUUUUGGACAAGCCAUUCCCCAUUAAUAUGACUGACAUUGCACCCCAAAUAUUCAGAGUAUGUUGUUUUCUCAGCAACUUCCAGUCCCCCCUAAUUGCAAAGGCAGGUCCAUAACAUUUGUAGGGCCCCCGACAUUACACCCAAUAUUUACCCCUGAUUCAGAUAAGGAAAAACAGGGUUUAACCCGAUAUUUUCCCGAAAACUGCUAGACCAGGGGAUCCAAAGUCAUCACAACUACACAGAACUUUAGAAACGUUGUAAUAGGUUGUGUCAUUAGCCCUUUUGCACGUCUUAGGAGUGAGCAAUGUAAACAUUUUAGCUGUCUGUCAUCUCAUUCCAUUUAUCUUCCCCCCCCCCCUUUUUCUGAGUUUGGUACACAAUAUUACUUGAUUUUGAGGCGUAUUGCUGGUCCAUUGUAUUUAUUCUGGCUUGCACAUUUUUAGACAGUUAAAGGGUAUCCCAGUUGCGUCCCUUUUCUUUAUCAUCCUCCUCUCCCAUUCAACAUCCCCAGUUGCUUUACAUGCUUGCUUUGAUAAAUUUUUGAGAUAAAUUGAGAAUGUGGAAGGACCACACUGUUCAUAUGUCACGAUAGUGAUGUUCGCAAAUGACUGUAAUGCAAAAUUCUUUGCUUUGAUUAAUGUUCUUUCCCAUAAAUAAAGACUGCACUGCUUAUGA